rnacentral:rRNA from 1 species
UGAUUAACCGAUGACACGCGAUAUUUUUAACUCAGACCUAAUUUUUAUACCUCCGUCCAAAGGGUAAAAUUAAAUAUUUUAUCCAUUCCUUACUCUACCAAGUAAUAAUGUCAGGUCAAGGUGAAGUUAAUGUCUGAGUAUCAAUGAGUUAUCAAUAAAGGUAAUUUAUGGACUUUUGCUUAAAAUCAAAAAUCGAAUUAAGAUUUAAAAGUAUUUUCAAUUCAAUACACUGAAAAGAAUAAGCAAAAAAGGUGUACAUAUCGCCCGUCGCCCUCGUCCAAAGAUGAGGUAAGUCGUAACACAGUUAAUAUACUGGAAAGUGUAUUAGGCGUAGCACUUCUUAGCUUUAAGUAUUUCACUUACACUGAAAAGAUGACAUUUUUUCAAUUCUGAUUUUAUUUACAAAGUCUUUGCACUUUCAUUUAUCUAAUUCAGCAUAUCAAAAACUGAAAAGGAACAUCAUAAAAUAAUUUGAGUAAAUUUAUGUACCUUUUGUAUCAGGGGUCUUCUAACCAUUAUGUAAAUUUCAACCUCCCGAAAUAAGACGAACUUCGCAAUCCUAGUAAAAGUUAUGGCAUAAACAAUAUAAACUUUGUGAAGUUGAGAUAUUCUUCUCAAGUCCUCCUUUAUCUGGUUCACUUCAUUUCUCUUUCUCUAGAUUGUACAAAGAACAAGCUUAGUACUAAGUUUAUUGCUUUUUCCCCCUUCAAUCUAGAUUUAAUAGUAUCCACAUUGUUUUCAAACUCUAUUUCCAUUCAUCUUAAACAAAAUUCAAGUGACCUAUUUCACUACCCCUUACAAUGAAGACAUUAGUAAAACUUUCCAUUUCCUUCAUCUUUCAACCCCUUCUCCUUUAAAAAUUUACAUUGAAAUUAUGAACUAGGCCCUCAAUCAAUUGACUGUUUACCAAAAACAUAGCUAAUAG